CCGGGCAGUGGACAAGGAGUGGACAAGGCACCUGCCCGGUAAGCAGAAGGGUGUGGGUUCGAUUCCCGCCCCUGGA